rnacentral:tRNA from 1 species
AGGAGUUUAGGAUAACAAAAGACCAAGAGCCUUCAAAGCCCUAAGCAAGUAUAAACACUUAACCCCUG